GCCCUUGCCCAGAGUCUUCCCGGGAUUGGCUGCGGGCCUCGCGACCCUCCUGCUUCCCUCCCCGCCCCGCGCCGCCUCUCUGGUUUGUGCGCCCGUCGCAGGUCGCAGGCCUCUUUGUCAGCUGGAGUUGCGCGGGCUGACGCGCCACUAUGUAGCGGGUUUCGGGCGGGCCACGCGUGCGGGACAGGAACCCAACCCCAGCCGACCUUGAGCUCCAGGAGUUCGUCUCUUACGUCUGCGGAAGUGCAGCUGCCUCAGUUCUUAGCGCAGGUUGACAACUACAGGCACAAGCCAUUGAAGCUGGAAUGUCCUGUUGCUGGUAUUUCAAUUGACUUAAGCCAACUAUCCCUUCAGUUACAAUAGGAAAGUGCCUCUAAUAAGGCCAAAUAUGCGUACUAACUUGUAGCAACCACGUGUCCGUGCAGUGCCACAGGAGCUAGAGCAGUGACAAUGCUGGUGGCAACAGGGCAGUGUAGCAGGUGCUUCAUGUUCACCUUUUCAACCUUUUCAUUUAAUUGUCACAACUCGGAGGUGGAUUCUGUUAGGGACAGGCUGCCCCAGGACCACUCCGCCCCCGCUAACUCAAUGCAGCUGACCCUUACCCUGAAUACUCUGCAGCUGCAUUCCUGAACCGUUAUCUAGGCGCUAUAGCAAGGUCACCAGACUUGCUACACCGAAGCCCUCUGGGUGGCACGGGGGAGGUCAUGAGAAACGUGGAUUACACCCCCUUGUAAAUUCCUAUUUUCACAAGAUAAUAUAUUGUAAGCCGGUCAUGAGAUUAUAUGUGGUAAAGUUAAUUGACUAACAACCCCAGGGUCUCUCUCCCCCAUAUAAACCCCUCAUUUUGUAAGCUCAGGGCUGCCACCUCCGACUGGUGGAGAAGCCUGGCAGGUUAAUAAACUUACUUGGCCUGAC
rnacentral:lncRNA from 10 species